CGACUGUCGGUCUCUUUCGUUAUCCAGACAUCAAGCUAGUAAAACGUCUCUCUAGCAAGCUCCGAAACUACCUAAAACUAAUCAAGUAAUAUUGCCUUUCCGCGAGUGUCCGCCUCUGAUCAAUAAUUGCCGUUGCCUUCUGCUUUGUUUCCCGUACAUUUCAUUGGCGACGAGGAAAACGGUUCAAGUGCAGUGCGUGUGUUAAAAGCUGUGCUGUUCCCGGUGCGACAUUGCCGGACGGACUUUAACAGUGAAGAUAGUGUCGUUCUCGUUGCCAUUCGGCGGCGGCGAGAAAAUCUUCAGCAGCAACAAAGUAUUGGUUGCAGAGCAGGUGGCAGAGAUACGGAAUAAAUCAGACGGGAACGUUCCGGGAAAAAGGUAUAGUGGCGAUUGCCGGCGAAGAGGAAGUUUUUCCUUUCCUUCUGGAAUUAGAACCCGCUGAAACUACCGGAGUAAAUCAUUUUUUCGGGUUUGAUAUUAUUGUAUUGCGAUAACGAUUGGACAACGGAAAACAACUACGGCGAACCGAAGCCAAAUGAAGUUCGUUGACGAUGUGGGUAUUCGGCGACGCCGAUCGAUGGUGGUGUAUGUCGAUCCCUAUGUCGAUGAUCCCGGUCCAUCACCACCACCACGUAGUACGAUCAGCCAGGAGCUUUGCAAGGUGCCUUUCCGGGGAUUCCUGGAGCGCGAGUUGCAGAGACGAGAAGAUGAAUUGCCGCCGGUUAAGCCGAAUCGAAAACGAAAGUACGUGAAUUUGGCGCUCGAUGGCCUGCCGUGGCGUUCGAAGAGAACGCGAAGAAACAGAAGUGAAUUUCAAUAUUUUUUUCAUUCGAAUUGUUAAUAAUUUGUUAAUAGUAACUAUCGAUUUGUAAAUGAUAAUAAUACUAUCGAAUAACUUCCGAAGAGGGAAGGACUAAUAUGUACCUUAAUUGGAGUAAACCAAUUUCAGCGUGUAUGCGCUAUAAACUAUUUUAUAGUUAUCGAUUUGCCAAAGAAUGCAUAAAAUAAACAGACCGACGACUGUCGGUCUCUUUCGUUAUCCAGA